rnacentral:rRNA from 1 species
GAUGAACGCUGGCGGCGUGCCUAAUACAUGCAAGUCGAGCGAACUGAUUAGAAGCUUGCUUCUAUGACGUUAGCGGCGGACGGGCGAGUAACACGUGGGCAACCUGCCUGUAAGACUGGGAUAACUUCGGGAAACCGAAGCUAAUACCGGAUAGGAUCUUCUCCUUCAUGGGAGAUGAUUGAGAGAUGGUUUCGGCUAUCACUUACAGAUGGGCCCGCGGUGCAUUAGCUAGUUGGUGAGGUAACGGCUCACCAAGGCAACGAUGCAUAGCCGACCUGAGAGGGUGAUCGGCCACACUGGGACUGAGACACGGCCCAGACUCCUACGGGAGGCAGCAGUAGGGAAUCUUCCGCAAUGGACGAAAGUCUGACGGAGCAACGCCGCGUGAGUGAUGAAGGCUUUCGGGUCGUAAAACUCUGUUGUUAGGGAAGAACAAGUACAAGAGUAACUGCUUGUACCUUGACGGUACCUAACCAGAAAGCCACGGCUAACUACGUGCCAGCAGCCGCGGUAACAC